UAAUUAUUAUGUUUUUUCAGACGCUGAUUGCAACUGCAAAUGGUUUAAAUUGUCCGAUCGGCGGCUGAGAGCGCGCCGAGGAAACGAAGGUACUUAAAAGACAUGGGUAAGAGAUGGUAGGCAAAGCCUACAACUCUAGGUAAUGAUCCUUCCGCAGGUUCACCUACGGAAA
rnacentral:misc_RNA from 1 species